GAUCAUCAUCCACUGUCUUUCCUG
rnacentral:snRNA from 1 species